rnacentral:sRNA from 1 species
UCCCCAUCCCCUGCUGGAGCCUCACUUCCAGCCCAGCCUGGGCCCGCAGACCACCGCGGGUGGGAGUGCCGCAUCGGAGGUGAGGCCUCAGUGUUCACCCAUCUGUUCCGUCUGCCUCAUUCCCCAAGCUGAGAGUCUUUCCCCUUUUCUUCAUCUUUUUUUUUUUUUUUCUCUCUCUAGAGAAACUCACUGCAGAGCUGGAAAAGCUUCAGACAGAGCUUGGUAAGUGACCCCUCUUAGAACUAUUUCUCCUCAGGGCCGGGCCCAGUGGCUCACGCCUGUAAUCCCAGUACUUUGGGAGGCCGAGGCGGGUGGAUCACGAGGUCAGGAGAUCGAGACCAGCCUGGCUAACACAGUGAAACCCCGUCUCUUCUAAAAAUACAAAAAAUUAGCCCGGCGUGGCGGCGGGCACCUGUAGUCCCAGCUACGUGGGAGGCUGAGGCAGGAGAAUGGCAUGAACCUGGGAAGCGGAGCUUGCAGUGAGCCGAGAUGGCGCCACUGCACUCCAGCCUGGGCGACAGAGCGAGACUCUGUCUCAAAAAAAAAAAGAACUAUUUCUCCUCAUUCAUCAUUUUGCAUCUGAUUCCCCAUAUAUCUUCUUCUCAUCUCCCAACCAGGUAUGAUGCCCAGGCAGGACCCCUGCUGGCUAUGUGGGUGUUGGGGUGGGGGACGGGGUGGGUGCAAGAUGUGAUGUGUGAGCAGGGAAGCUUGGGGUCCUGAUGUGCUAAUUUCCUGUUUUCCCUUGGUUGCUUCAGACUGGAGACGGGCUGAAGGCCAGGCUGAGUGGAGAGCAGCCCAAAAAUAUGCAGUGGAUGUGACUCUGGACCCGGCCUCGGCGCACCCCAGCCUGGAGGUGUCGGAGGAUGGCAAGAGCGUGUCUUCCCG